rnacentral:rRNA from 1 species
CUGCGUACCUUUUGUAUAAUGGGUCAGCGACUUAUAUUCUGUAGCAAGGUUAACCGCAUAGGGGAGCCGGAGGGAAACCGAGUCUUAACCGGGCGUUAAGUUGCAGGGUAUAGACCCGAAACCCGGUGAUCUAGCCAUGGGCAGGUUGAAGGUUGGGUAACACUAACUGGAGGACCGAACCGACUAAUGUUGAAAAAUUAGCGGAUGACCUGUGGCUGGGGGUGAAAGGCCAAUCAAACCGGGAGAUAGCUGGUUCUCCCCGAAAGCUAUUUAGGUAGCGCCUCGUGAAUUCAUCUCCGGGGGUAGAGCACUGUUUCGGCUAGGGGGCCAUCCCGGCUUACCAACCCGAUGCAAACUGCGAAUACCGGAGAAUGUUAUCACGGGAGACACACGGCGGGUGCUAACGUCCGUCGUGAAGAGGGAAACAACCCAGACCGCCAGCUAAGGUCCCAAAGUCAUGGUUAAGUGGGAAACGAUGUGGGAAGGCCCAGACAGCCAGGAUGUUGGCUUAGAAGCAGCCAUCAUUUAAAGAAAGCGUAAUAGCUCACUGGUCGAGUCGGCCUGCGCGGAAGAUGUAACGGGGCUAAACCAUGCACCGAAGCUGCGGCAGCGACACUCAGGUGUUGUUGGGUAGGGGAGCGUUCUGUAAGCCUGUGAAGGUGUGCUGUGAGGCAUGCUGGAGGUAUCAGAAGUGCGAAUGCUGACAUAAGUAACGAUAAAGCGGGUGAAAAGCCCGCUCGCCGGAAGACCAAGGGUUCCUGUCCAACGUUAAUCGGGGCAGGGUGAGUCGACCCCUAAGGCGAGGCCGAAAGGCGUAGUCGAUGGGAAACGGGUUAAUAUUCCCGUACUUGGUGUUACUGCGAAGGGGGGACGGAGAAGGCUAUGUUGGCCGGGCGACGGUUGUCCCGGUUUAAGCGUGUAGGUGUGUGUUCCAGGUAAAUCCGGUUCACUUUAACACUGAGGCGUGACGACGAGGCACUACGGUGCUGAAGCAACAAAUGCCCUGCUUCCAGGAAAAGCCUCUAAGCAUCAGGUAACAUCAAAUCGUACCCCAAACCGACACAGGUGGUCAGGUAGAGAAUACCAAGGCGCUUGAGAGAACUCGGGUGAAGGAACUAGGCAAAAUGGUGCCGUAACUUCGGGAGAAGGCACGCUGACACGUAGGUGAAGUGAUUUACUCAUGGAGCUGAAGUCAGUCGAAGAUACCAGCUGGCUGCAACUGUUUAUUAAAAACACAGCACUGUGCAAACACGAAAGUGGACGUAUACGGUGUGACGCCUGCCCGGUGCCGGAAGGUUAAUUGAUGGGGUCAGCGCAAGCGAAGCUCCUGAUCGAAGCCCCGGUAAACGGCGGCCGUAACUAUAACGGUCCUAAGGUAGCGAAAUUCCUUGUCGGGUAAGUUCCGACCUGCACGAAUGGCGUAAUGAUGGCCAGGCUGUCUCCACCCGAGACUCAGUGAAAUUGAACUCGCUGUGAAGAUGCAGUGUACCCGCGGCAAGACGGAAAGACCCCGUGAACCUUUACUAUAGCUUGACACUGAACAUUGAGCCUUGAUGUGUAGGAUAGGUGGGAGGCUUUGAAGUGUGGACGCCAGUCUGCAUGGAGCCGACCUUGAAAUACCACCCUUUAAUGUUUGAUGUUCUAACGUGGACCCGUAAUCCGGGUUGCGGACAGUGUCUGGUGGGUAGUUUGACUGGGGCGGUCUCCUCCUAAAGAGUAACGGAGGAGCACGAAGGUUGGCUAAUCCUGGUCGGACAUCAGGAGGUUAGUGCAAUGGCAUAAGCCAGCUUGACUGCGAGCGUGACGGCGCGAGCAGGUGCGAAAGCAGGUCAUAGUGAUCCGGUGGUUCUGAAUGGAAGGGCCAUCGCUCAACGGAUAAAAGGUACUCCGGGGAUAACAGGCUGAUACCGCCCAAGAGUUCAUAUCGACGGCGGUGUUUGGCACCUCGAUGUCGGCUCAUCACAUCCUGGGGCUGAAGUAGGUCCCAAGGGUAUGGCUGUUCGCCAUUUAAAGUGGUACGCGAGCUGGGUUUAGAACGUCGUGAGACAGUUCGGUCCCUAUCUGCCGUGGGCGCUGGAGAACUGAGGGGGGCUGCUCCUAGUACGAGAGGACCGGAGUGGACGCAUCACUGGUGUUCGGGUUGUCAUGCCAAUGGCACUGCCCGGUAGCUAAAUGCGGAAGAGAUAAGUGCUGAAAGCAUCUAAGCACGAAACUUGCCCCGAGAUGAGUUCUCCCUGAGACUUUAGGUCUCCUGAAGGAACGUUGAAGACGACGACGUUGAUAGGCCGGGUGUGUAAGCGCAGCGAUGCGUUGAGCUAACCGGUACUAAUGAACCGUGAGGCUUAACCUUACAACGCCGAAG